rnacentral:tRNA from 1 species
GGAUUUAGCUCAGUGGUACAGCACUUGCCUAGCAUGCACAAGACCUUGGGUUCAAUCCUCAGCACCA